rnacentral:rRNA from 1 species
GACGAACGCUGGCGGCGUGCUUAACACAUGCAAGUCGAACGGAAAGGCCCCUUCGGGGGUACUCGAGUGGCGAACGGGUGAGUAACACGUGGGCAACCUGCCCUCAGCUUCGGGAUAACACUUGGAAACAGGUGCUAAUACCGGAUAAUAACUUGUCAUCGCAUGGUGGUGGGUUCAAAGUUUUUCGGCUGAGGAUGGGCCCGCGGCCUAUCAGCUUGUUGGUGGGGUAAUGGCCUACCAAGGCGACGACGGGUAGCCGGCCUGAGAGGGCGACCGGCCACAUUGGGACUGAGACACGGCCCAGACUCCUACGGGAGGCAGCAGUGGGGAAUAUUGCGCAAUGGGCGGAAGCCUGACGCAGCGACGCCGCGUGAGGGAUGACGGCCUCGGUU